rnacentral:tRNA from 1 species
GUUGAUAUGCUUUAGCAUAUUUAGUUGUCAGUUGAUUUGCACUCAAUUUUUAUGAAUUUUUCAUACU